rnacentral:rRNA from 1 species
UCGUGCGAUUCGCCUUACUGCUCAGUAACACGUGGCUAACCUGCCCUUGGGACGAGAACAACCCCGGGAAACUGGGGCUAAUUCUCGAUAGGUGAAGAACUCUGGAAUGAGUCUCCGCUUAAAAGACGCUUGCGCUAUGCUUGCAGGUGUCGCCCAAGGAUGGGGCCGCGACCGAUCAGGUUGUUGGUGAGGUAAUGGCUCACCAAGCCUUUUACCGGUGCGGGCCGUGAGAGCGGGAGCCCGGAGAUGGGCACUGAGACAAGGGCCCAGGCCCUACGGGGCGCAGCAGUCGCGAAAACUUUGCAAUAAGCGAAAGCUUGACAGGGCUAUCCCGAGUGCCAUCCGCUGAGGAAGGCUUUUACCCAGUCUAGAACGCUGGGGGAAUAAGGAGAGGGCAAGUCUGGUGUCAGCCGCCGCGGUAAUACCAGCUCUCCGAGUGGUGUGGAUGUUUAUUGGGCCUAAAGCAUCCGUAGCUGGCUAGGUUAGUCCCUUGUUAAAUCCACCGAAUUAAUCGUUGGAUUGCGGGGGAUACUGCCUGGCUAGGGGACGAGAGAGGCAGACGGUAUUUCCAGGGUAGGGGUGAAAUCCUAUAAUCCCGGGAAGACCACCAGUGGCGAAAGCUGUCUGCUAGAACGCGCCCGACGUGAGGGAUGAAAGCUGGGGGAGCGAACCGGAUUAGAUACCCGGGUAGUCCCAGCUGUAAACGAUGCAGACUAGUGUUUGGACGGCCACGUGCCGUUCUAGUGCGCAGGUAGCUGUAAGUCUGCCGCCUGGGAGUACGAUCGCAAGAUGAACUAAAGAUUGGCGGGAGCCAGCGAUCGUUAAACUGCAGACUAGUCCCUUACUGAAGUAUUCGAGCUUGGUAUCAGCCUAAGCUGAUCUGUGACAUGAACGUCAAUCCACACAUCGAUCGACCUAAAGGUCAC